GGGCUCUCUGAGAGGAGAAUCCCCCACACUGGUACUGAGACACGGACCAGACUCCUACGGGAGGCAGCAGUAAGGAAUAUUGGUCAAUGGGCGGAAGCCUGAACCAGCCAUGCCGCGUGCAGGAUGACUGCCCUAUGGGUUGUAAACUGCUUUUGUCCAGGAAUAAACCUUUCUACGUGUAGGAAGCUGAAUGUACUGGAAGAAUAAGGAUCGGCUAACUCCGUGCCAGCAGCCGCGGUAAUACGGAGGAUCCGAGCGUUAUCCGGAUUUAUUGGGUUUAAAGGGUGCGUAGGCGGCCUAUUAAGUCAGGGGUGAAAUACGGUGGCUCAACCAUCGCAGUGCCUUUGAUACUGAUGGGCUUGAAUCCAUUUGAAGUGGGCGGAAUAAGACAAGUAGCGGUGAAAUGCAUAGAUAUGUCUUAGAACUCCGAUUGCGAAGGCAGCUCACUAAGCUGGUAUUGACGCUGAUGCACGAAAGCGUGGGGAUCGAACAGGAUUAGAUACCCUGGUAGUCCACGCCCUAAACGAUGAUAACUCGAUGUUGGCGAUAGACAGCCAGCGUCCAAGCGAAAGCGUUAAGUUAUCCACCUGGGGAGUACGCCCGCAAGGGUGAAACUCAAAGGAAUUGACGGGGGCCCGCACAAGCGGAGGAGCAUGUGGUUUAAUUCGAUGAUACGCGAGGAACCUUACCCGGGCUUGAAAGUUAGUGAAGAGUGCAGAGACGCACUCGUCCUUCGGGACACGAAACUAGGUGCUGCAUGGCUGUCGUCAGCUCGUGCCGUGAGGUGUUGGGUUAAGUCCCGCAACGAGCGCAACCCCUAUGUUUAGUUGCCAGCAUGUAAUGGUGGGGACUCUAAACAGACUGCCUGUGCAAACAGAGAGGAAGGUGGGGACGACGUCAAGUCAUCAUGGCCCUUACGUCCGGGGCUACACACGUGCUACAAUGGAUGGUACAGCGGGCAGCUACAUAGCAAUAUGAUGCUAAUCUCUAAAAGCCAUUCACAGUUCGGAUUGGGGUCUGCAACUCGACCCCAUGAAGUUGGAUUCGCUAGUAAUCGCGUAUCAGCAAUGACGCGGUGAAUACGUUCCCGGGCCUUGUACACACCGCCCGUCAAGCCAUGAAAGUUGGGGGUACCUAAAGC
rnacentral:rRNA from 1 species